UCUAUUCUUAUGAUAUUUUUCUUCUUCUGAUUUCCUGCUUCUCUUAUUUUUUCCUUCUUUAUUAUUGUUCUUCUCUUUGAAAUGAAAGAAGACUGAGUUUAAAUAAAUGGGUUACUAAUGUACAAGUGAAAACUAUUUAGAUAUGAUUUUGGUAAAAAAA